GAUGAACGCUGGCGGCGUGCCUCAAACAUGCAAGUCGAGCGGGGCUAUGUUGGACCGUAAGGGAAGAUAUAGCCUAGCGGCGAACGGGUGAGUAACACGUGGGUAACCUACCUGGAAGACAGGGAUAACGAUUCGAAAGGGUCGCUAAUACCUGAUAAUAUCUAACAGUCGGAUGGCAGUUAGAAGAAAGGGGAAACCCGCUUUCAGAUGGGCCCGCGUCCCAUCAGCUAGUUGUAAGGUAACAGCUCACCAAGGCGACGACGGGUAGCCGGCCUGAGAGGGUGACCGGCCACACUGGGACUGAGACACGGCCCAGACUCCUACGGGGGCAGCAGUGGGGGAUCUUGCACAAUGGGCGAAAGCCUGAUGGAGCGACGCCGCGUGAGCGAAGAAGGCCUUCGGGUUGUAAAGCUCUGUCUGGAGGGACGAAGGAAGUGACGGUACCUCCGGAGGAAGCCACGGCUAACUACGUG
rnacentral:rRNA from 1 species